UGCCCUUUCUCCAGUAGAGGAAAUAUGUUGCAGUGCCCUUUAGGGUGCUCUUCUAGUGGAGAAAACAUGAUGCAGUGCCCUUAAGGUUGGCCUUAAAAUUGAGAAAAUAUGAUGCAGUGCCAUAAAGGCUGCCCUACAUGCUAGAAAACGUUCUG